rnacentral:lncRNA from 1 species
AGCACCUCACCUGGCCCUGAGGAAACAGCUCAGUCAUCCCCUAAUAGGGAUGAACAGCAAAGUGCUCACCAUGCUGACAUCUAUUCCCUGCGUGGUUUACUUUAUUAUGAAGUCUGAAUUUGGUGCCCAAGUUCUGGCCUGACCUCACUAAUAUCUCUAGUUUAAGAGAAGAUAGCCAUGGCUGGGAUGACUGUUAAUCUAAUGAAAUCAACUAAGAAUGUCUAUAGAUGGAAAAACCAAGACUCCUUAGUAAUGGAGUCCAAAGAAGGUCAGGGAAUCGUUUCUGGCUGUUGAAAGUUGGCUGCAACUGAAUAAUAGAACAAAGUCUGAGCUUCAAAAUCAUGCUGCGUCUGGGUCCCUUUGACUGUAAGAAAUCAGCUUUGAAGACUACAUGAGGAGCCUCUGAUGUGAUCUAAGCUUGUCAUUUUUCAUUGUCUUUUAAAAGCAUUC